rnacentral:lncRNA from 1 species
GAACAUCUCCCCGUUCUCAUCUGGACCAUCCUGGACCUGGACCUGCACAGGUGAGACAUGGACAGGUGAGACAUGGACAGGUGAGACAGGUGAGACAUGGACAGGUGAGACAUGGACAGGUGAGACAGGAACAGACACACAGAGCCACAGGAACAUCUCCCCAUUCUCAUCUGGACCGUCCUGGACCUGGACCUGUACAGGUACAACAGGUGAGACACAGACAGACACACAGACAGACACACGGACACAGGUGAGAUAUGGACACCCAGGUGGAACAGGGCCAGGUGAGACACACGGACACACAGACACACAGACACAUGGACACACACAGACACAGACACACAGGACACACAGGUGGAACGGGGACAGGUGAGACACACGGACACAGGAACACACACACAGGAACACACACACACACACAUGGACACACAGACAGGUGGAACAGGGCCAGGUGAGACACACAGACACACGGACACACAGACACACACAGGACACACACACAGAGGUGGAACAGAGCCAGGUGAGACACACAGGAACACACACAGGACACACAGACACACAGGACACACAGACACAGAGGUGGAACAGGGACAGGUGAGACAGGUGAGACACACGGACACAACUCUGGGGACAGUGCAGGGGUCACUGGGGGUCCCUGUGGAGUCCUGGGGUUCCAGGGGGGGUCCCGGGGAGGAUCAUUGGGGGUCCCUGGGUGUCCCAGGGGGUCCCUGAGGGUCCCGGGGG